rnacentral:rRNA from 1 species
GACAGAGGGUGCAAACGUUGCUCGGAAUCACUGGGCGUAAAGGGCGUGUAGGCGGGAUAGUAAGUCGGGCGUGAAAUCCCCAGGCUCAACCUGGGAACUGCGCUCGAAACUGUGGGUCUCGAGUGUCGGAGAGGAUGGCGGAAUUCCUGGUGUAGAGGUGAAAUGCGUAGAUAUCUGGAGGAACACCGGUGGCGAAGGCAGCAUCCUGGACCAACACUGACGCUGAGUGAGCGAAAGCCAGGGGAGCAAACGGG